AUUGAACGCUGGCGGCAUGCCUUACACAUGCAAGUCGAACGGUAACGGGCCUUCGGUUGCCGACGAGUGGCGAACGGGUGCGUAAUACAUCCGAACGUUCCCGAUCGUGGUGGUUAACGAGUCGAAAGCUUUGCUAAUACCGCAUACGAUCUACGUAUUCAAGCAUGGGACCUCAAGGCCUUUCUCGGACUUAUCUGCCGAUGUCGGAUUAGGUAGUUUGUGGGUUAAAAGCUUACCAAGCCGACGAUCUGUAGCUGGUCUGAGAGGAUGAUCAGCCACACUGGGACUGAGACACGGACCAGACUACUACGGGAGGCAGCAGUGGGGAAUUUUGGACAAUGGGCGAAAGCCUGAUCCAGCCAUGCCGCGUGCAGGAUGAAGGCCUUCGGGUUGUAAACUGCUUUUGUACGGAACGAAAAGCAUUCUUUUAAUACAGGAGGGUCAUGACGGUACCGGAAGAAUAAGCACCGGCUAACUACGUG
rnacentral:rRNA from 1 species